rnacentral:misc_RNA from 1 species
CCGCUUGGAGACCCGCGCAGCCGCGCUUCCCUGUGCGCCGCCACUCCAGCCGCGCUUCCGUGGCCGCGUCCGCCGCCGCCAGCUCUGUGGUCGCGCCGUCAGCCAGCCCAUCUGCCGUCGUGAGGUACUGAGGUUUGUGGACGUGAUCUGCUAUUCUGCUGCCAUCUCCCAUCUGCCCUGUCUAACGCUGUACUUGUCCGAUUGUCCAUUCUCUGUUCUUGUUAGAUCCCAAUAUCCAUGGCAACGAGUGCAUCUACUGAUGCUAGCAGCAGCGAAGGUGCCGAAGGAAGUUUUCCAGUCGCCAAAAACCCUGCCAUCGCAAGACAAGUCUUGGCUGCUGUUCGUAUUGUUCCUCCAGAUGAGGAUGAGAAAAAAACCAUUGUGGAGGUAUGCUG